rnacentral:pre_miRNA from 1 species
AGUGGGAUUACUGGGUCAUAUGGUAAGUGUUUAACUUUAUAAGAAACUGCCAAACCAUUUUCCAGAGUGGCUGAACCAUUUUGCAUCCCCACCAGCAAU